GGUCAGACCAUAGACAGAUACAGAAGACAGCUCGCUAGCGGAUCUAGUCUGCUAUGUAUAUCUAUGGUCGGCACGUCUGGUAACGUCUCUGGCUGCUGUUGACCUUAUUUUUGGAGUAAAACACGGUGGAAGCUGAAUUAGUGAGGAUGACUCCUGCUCCUGUCAUCUCUAAGCUCCUCACACAUCUUUACCUGCACAUGAGGAAAAUCACUCCUGUAGAAUGCAGAUGUUCAGAGGGAGAUGAUGCCACAUCUGGUCCAGCUGAUGGAAGGUCUUGAAGUUCUCUGACUGGCCUGGACUGAAGAUGGUCCUCUCACUGGAUUUAAGGUUCAGAUGCUCAGUAACAAACUCCACCAAUGUGCCAACAGGGAAGCUUUAGGUUUAUUAAAUGUUGCUAUGAAGGUUUCGCUGUUUUUCUUUGUGAAUGCAAUGUGCUCCAACUGAAACUUGAAUUAGAACUUAGAAGUAAAUCCUUCCAUCUGAAAGGAUUUAGUUGCAUUAAUAACCUCAUAACAUUCCAAUUUUUCUUCCAGUCUUGGUUGGAAAUAGAAUCUCUGUAUUGAUUCAGGUAAAAACUGAACUUCAUAGCAUGUUGAAGCAAAACAACCAGAGGAAAACUGUGAUGGUGUUGGAUUGUCAGACCAUAAUGUUGCAGCUCAAAGCAGCUUUUCUAGCUCAGUUCAUUCUGACAUUCAGCUAUGAAUCAACACAGCAGAUGGUGAUCCAUGCUGUGGAAAUCUCACAUCUCCUGAUUUAAUGGAGCUGCUUUGCACUUUUUACACGGUUUACUCACCAACACUUUAUUUAAUAAAAGUCCCAUCUAGUUUUUAUGAGGAAUGUGAGGUUUUAAUUUCUCUGUGAAUAACUGCAGUCUAAUGCAACAGCUGGAGUUGUAACAUCUGUCCUGAUAUUGAUCAUGAAGUAUUGAUCAGAAUACUUAUGGUCAGCAGUCAUCCCUGAAGUUUUACAUUAAAAGCUUUACUUGUGUUGUGAACUUUGGUAAGAAGCAGAAACUUCAGCGUUGCCAUGGAUACAUGAGUGUUAAAUUCUGUCCAUGUUUCCAUUUUGGGAAAUUCAGUCCAGCAGAUGAGUUUGUUUUUACUUCCAGCUACCAUUCAGUCUGAGAUAUUAAGAAUAAAUAAAUGGGCAUAAUGUGGAAAUGAACAGAUUUUAUUUUUAUUUAUUCCUACAGGUGAUGCAGUUAAAGUUCCAGAAUGUGGAGGAAUUUAGUCUCACGAUGACAGACAAUAAAUAUUAUCUGAAAGUCGGGUUAUUGUUUAUCAGUACAAUACAAAAAGAUUCAUGUUAGAAAUAUUCCAGUUAAGACUCUAGAAUAUCAUGAUUUAUGUAACUUUACCUCAGUAAUAUCAAUGUUCAGGUUAAGAUUGUGCAGUGAUAUUUAUUAUGUAAGUUUAGCUGAUUAAAGUUUAUGACUCUGCACUACAAUGUUAUUUAUUUAAAUUUACAUCAUUAUUAUAUUUAGGGUCAGACCCUACAGUAUUGAGAUUAAGAGAUCAAAUAUUCUAUAAAAUGUAAAUACACUGAACUCAUUUGGAUAUAUUUAAGUGAGACUCUACAAUAUUAUUUGACACAAAUCUGUAAAUCAAAAUUUUAAUCAUUUUUACGCCAAACAUUUACUGGACUGAUUUAAAUAUUAAAAUCACUCUUUUCUAAUCCUCUGCUGUACGUUCAAACCUGAGGCCUUAAAUAGAAACACACAAGUAUCUGUUUGAAGGAACUUCUGCAGAGUCCUGGUUCCAGAACAUGAUGAUAGAAUUAUAGACAAACUUUAACAAAAGCUGCCUGAGAGUUUACAGGUUUUUAUGUUAGAUUUCCUCAGUAAUUUAAUGACAGUUAUCAGCAAAAAUCAAGUGUUCAUUUGAUGAACUUCAUUUCCUAAAACAUCCAGAAUUGGAGCUCAUAUCUUUGACAGCUGUAAAGUUUCUGCUCCUUCAAAGUUCACAACACAAUGAAUUAAUUCCUAAAACACUCUCAAUGCUGGAGAGUGUUUGAUGCUGAAGCAGUGACCAGUUUUUCUGUUUCUUCUCUGGAGAUGCACAAUGAGGGACGUCUGCAGAGACUGAGAAAGAGUCUCACCACAUCCUGACAUGAGGAAAAAGACUUUAUUGAAGACUACAAUGAGAAAAACUAUCAGACAGCAGACGGCUGCAUUCAAGGUGAGCUCUGAACAUUUGAUCUGGAACAGGAAUUCAAUCACGGCAGCAUGAGCUUCAUUUCAGUCUGUAGCUGCUGAAUUCAUGGAUGAAUCAUCUGGCACUAGAGAAGACCAUCAAACAUCCACGUCAGCUGAUGGAGGUCCAAGAGUCUCACCCAACAAACAACCUACAGAGUGAAGACCUCAAAUCUGAUUGGACGGCCUCCUAUUCAGCCACAUUUUAGGCUGUUAGAUUGUUCCAGAUAAGACAAGUACAAGAUUCUUCAGAGCCGUUCUACCACGAGCCUGACAGGAAGAACUCCAACAGCUACUGAAUGUUCCUGUGGUUCCCUCAAGGCUACAGGAGGAGCCCUACGAGGACGAGCCGGUCCACCUGAUGGUGGCCAGUCGCUGCUGUUCAAAGCCAACACCGACUACGUGGACUUCUACUGGACCACACGGAGGCCUUCAAACCGGACCAACAAGUUCAGCGACUCCCCGACUCGUGGGUCUGAGGACGUCGCCGAGCCUCGGCCCAGCCGGCCUCCUGUCUGUGGAUGUUUGAGUGCUGAGAGGUUUAUGGAUCCAUGUGAAUGUUCUGUGUUGAAACAGCAGCUUUGGACUCAGUAACGCCGGGAAAAACCAAGAGCUCCUUUAUUUGUGACUUCCACUAAAAAAACUGAUGAAAAUAAGUUUGCCAGGGUUCUGACUGAUAACAGAUUAUUAAAUAAUGAAAAUAAUUGUUUAAAGAUUCCUUUAAACGAUCCUUUUAGGUCUACAUUUCCUUUACACUGACUUCUUGGUAUAUGUACAAGUAUUUUGGGUGGAAUAUACCAUUAAGCCCAAUGUUCAAGGGUUCUUCUGGGAAUAUACCAUUAAAUGAAACCUUUUAGGUAAAUGUUCCAGGAUGUUGGGUAGAAUAUACCAUCAGAUCAACCUUUUAGGUCUACAUUGGAAGAUUUUAGAGUAGAAUAUUACUCCAAACCAUCCUUUAGGUCUACAUUUAAGGUGGAAUACUCCUUUACACCAAGAUUUUUUUGGUCUACAUUGAAGGAUUUCAGGUGGAAUAUUCCUUUGAACUUUUUAAAUUUAUGUUCAAAGAUGUUGGAUGGAAUAUACCAUCAGACCAACCUCCAAGGUCUACAGUAGUGAAUUUUAGGUGGAAUAUACCAUUAAACUCACCUUUUAGGUCGACAUUGGAGGAUUUUAGGAUGGUAUAUUCUUCCAAACCAACUUCUCAGGUCUACAUUUCAGGUGGAAUAUUCCUCCAUACUAACUUUUUUGGUCUACAUUGAAGGAUUUUUUCUAAACCACC